CAACAAGAGGCUUGUGUGCAGCAUCGGUACGCCUUAUAAAUACAGAGACGUCAGGCAGGAACCUUAAAGACGCUUCCCAUCAAGUGUGGAAAGACUCUACUGCACCUGACGACGAGACAAAAUGAGUGAAUCUGGAAAUCGGGGUCCUCCAGAAGAACGUGGGGACGGACCUCCGGGUGAAGAACGUGGAGGAUUUGGUGAAAGAGGUGGACGUGGUGGAGGAGGUGGACGUGGUGGACGCGGUGGAGGAGGUGGACGUGGUGGAGGAGGUGGACACGGGGAGGGACCUCCAGAAGGCCGUGUACCUGGUGGACCUGGUGGACGUGGUGGACGUGGUGGACGUGGUGGUGGACGUGGUGGACGUGGUGGACACGGUGGACCUGAGGACGGCUCUGAAUAAAAAGAGAAACAUGGUGAUAACAACUAAAUGAAGAAAUUCAACACUGUGUGGUUUUGAUUCUCAUGAUUUAAAUGCAUCUCCAAUAAACAAAUCCAGAAACUUCUAA